CAGUGAGGAAUAUUGGACAAUGGGCGAAAGCCCGAUCCAGCAACGCCGCGUGGAGGAUGAAGGCCUUCGGGUCGUAAACUUCUUUAGAGGGAGACUAGAAAGGACGGUAUCCCUAGAAUAAGCGACGGCAAACUACGUGCCAGCAGCCGCGGUAACACGUAGGUCGCGAGCGUUAUCCGGAUUUACUGGGCGUAAAGCGCUUGUAGGCGGUUCUGUAAGUCGGGCGUGAAAUCUCCGGGCUUAACUCGGAGUGGCCGUUCGAUACUGCAGGGCUUGAGGAUGCUAGAGGGUGGUGGAAUUCCAGGUGUAGUGGUGAAAUGCGUAGAUAUCUGGAGGAACAUCCGUGGCGAAGGCGGCCACCUGGGGCAUUCCUGACGCUGAGAAGCGACAGCUAGGGGAUCAAACGGGAUUAGAAACCCCGGUAGUCCUAGCCGUAAACGAUGGACGCUAGGUGUUGGCAGAUCUAACCCUGUCUGCGCCGAAGCAAACGCGUUAAGCGUCCCGCCUGGGAACUACGGUCGCAAGAUUAAAACUCAAAGGAAUUGACGGGGACCCGCACAAGCAGCGGAGCGUGUGGUUUAAUUCGAUACUACACGAAGAACCUUACCCAGGUUUGACAUACUAGUGGUAGUGAACUGAAAGGGGAACGACCCGCAAGGGAGCUAGUACAGGUGUUGCAUGGCUGUCGUCAGCCCGUGUCGUGAGAUGUUGGUUUAAGUACCCUAACGAGCGCAACCCUUAUUGCCAGUUACACGUAUCUGGCGAGACUGCCGGCCACAAGCCGGAGGAAGGCGAGGAUGACGUCAAGUCAGCAUGGCCUUUAUAUCUGGGGCUACACACACGCUACAAUGGGCGUAACAAUGGGAUGCCAAGCCGUGAGGCGGAGCCAAUCCCCCAAAUACGUCCUCAGUUCAGAUUGCAGGCUGCAACCCGCCUGCAUGAAGUCGGAGUUGCUAGUAAACGCGCGUCAGCUAUAGUGCGUUGAAUACGUUCCCGGGUCUUGUACACACCGCCCGUCACACUAUGGGAGCUGGUAAUACCUGAAGCCGGUAGCCUAACCGCAAGGAAGGCGCCGUCAAAGGUAGGGCUGGUGACUGGAGUGAAGUCGUAACAAGGUAGCUGUACGGGAACGUGCGGCUGG
rnacentral:rRNA from 1 species